GACGAACGCUGGCGGCGUGCUUAACACAUGCAAGUCGAACGGAAAGGCCCUGCUUUUGUGGGGUGCUCGAGUGGCGAACGGGGGAGUAACACGUGAGUAACCUGCCCUUGACUUUGGGAUAACUUCAGGAAACUGGGGCUAAUACCGGAUAGGAGCUCCUGCUGCAUGGUGGGGGGGGGAAAGUUUCGGCGGUUGGGGAUGGACUCGCGGCUUAUCAGCUUGUUGGUGGGGUAGUGGCUUACCAAGGCUUUGACGGGUAGCCGGCCUGAGAGGGUGACCGGCCACAUUGGGACUGAGAUACGGCCCAGACUCCUACGGGAGGCAGCAGUGGGGAAUAUUGCACAAUGGGCGGAAGCCUGAUGCAGCAACGCCGCGUGCGGGAUGACGGCCUUCGGGUUGUAAACCGCUUUCGCCUGUGACGAAGCGUGAGUGACGGUAAUGGGUAAAGAAGCACCGGCUAACUACGUG
rnacentral:rRNA from 1 species